AUGGCUCAAAGACACUUUCUCUUCUUCCUACAAGACUGAUAGGCUGCUCUCAGACAUCCUACUCUGAACUCUACACACACACACUCGUAUAGGGAGUUAACCCAAACAGAGACACGUAAAAACACAAUGGCACACAAGUGUUGAGGUGAGAGAGAGCCCUACAGAUACCAGAGGAAAGUGUUGAGGUGAGAGAGAGCCCUACAGAUACCAGAGGAAAGUGUUGAGGUGAGAGAGAGCCCUACAGAUACCAGAGGAAAGUGUUGAGGUGAGAGAGAGCCCUACAGAUACCAGAGGAAAGUGUUGAGGUGAGAGAGAGCCCUACAGAUACCAGAGGAAAGUGUUGAGGUGAGAGAGAGCCCUACAGAUACCAGAGGAAAGUGUUGAGGUGAGAGAGAGCCCUACAGAUACCAGAGGAAAGUGUUGAGGUGAGAGAGAGCCCUACAGAUACCAGAGGAAAGUGUUGAGGUGAGAGAGAGCCCUACAGAUACCAGAGGAAAGUGUUGAGGUGAGAGAGAGCCCUACAGAUACCAGAGGAAAGUGUUGAGGUGAGAGAGAGCCCUACAGAUACCAGAGGAAAGUGUUGAGGUGAGAGAGAGCCCUACAGAUACCAGAGGAAAGUGUUGAGGUGAGAGAGAGCCCUACAGAUACCAGAGGAAAGUGUUGAGGUGAGAGAGAGCCCUACAGAUACCAGAGGAAAGUGUUGAGGUGAGAGAGAGCCCUACAGAUACCAGAGGAAAGUGUUGAGGUGAGAGAGAGCCCUACAGAUACCAGAGGAAAGUGUUGAGGUGAGAGAGAGCCCUACAGAUACCAGAGGAAAGUGUUGAGGUGAGAGAGAGCCCUACAGAUACCAGAGGAAAGUGUUGAGGUGAGAGAGAGCCCUACAGAUACCAGAGGAAAGUGUUGAGGUGAGAGAGAGCCCUACAGAUACCAGAGGAAAGUGUUGAGGUGAGAGAGAGCCCUACAGAUACCAGAGGAAAGUGUUGAGGUGAGAGAGAGCCCUACAGAUACCAGAGGAAAGUGUUGAGGUGAGAGAGAGCCCUACAGAUACCAGAGGAAAGUGUUGAGGUGAGAGAGAGCCCUACAGAUACCAGAGGAAAGUGUUGAGGUGAGAGAGAGCCCUACAGAUACCAGAGGAAAGUGUUGAGGUGAGAGAGAGCCCUACAGAUACCAGAGGAAAGUGUUGAGGUGAGAGAGAGCCCUACAGAUACCAGAGGACAGUGUUGAGGUGAGAGAGAGCCCUACAGAUACCAGAGGAAAGUGUUAUGCAAUUGUUGCCAUUUUAACCAUCAUUUGAAAACAUGUCAAUGUCCAUUGAGAUUUCUGUUGUUUUAUUUGCCCAUAAAGUUUUUUUGCGUUUGAGCUUGUGAGUGAGUGAGUGAGUGAGAAAAGUGUGAGAGAGAGUGAGAGAAAAAAGUGUGAGAGAGAGUGAGAGAAAA